CGGUGGAGCAUGUUGGUUUAAUUCGACGCAACGCGAAGAACCUUACCAGGGCUUGACAUCCCCUGACCGCGUAUGAAAGUACGUUUUCACCCUCGGGUGACAGGGAGACAGGUGGUGCAUGGUUGUCGUCAGCUCGUGUCGUGAGAUGUUGGGUUAAGUCCCGCAACGAGCGCAACCCCUACGUUUAGUUGCUAACGCGUGAAGGCGAGCACUCUAGACGAACUGCCGUUGACAAAACGGAGGAGGGUGGGGAUGACGUCAAAUCAUCAUGCCCCUUAUGUUCUGGGCUACACACGUGCUACAAUGGCCGGUACAGACGGACGCAAAGCCGCGAGGUGGAGCAAAUCCUAAAAAGCCGGUCUCAGUUCGGAUUGCAGGCUGCAAUUCGCCUACAUGAAGUCGGAAUCGCUAGUAAUCGCAGGUCAGCAUACUGCGGUGAAUACGUUCCCGGGCCUU
rnacentral:rRNA from 1 species